CCUCAGAACCCUAACACGCAAGUUCAAGGCAAUUCCACCGCCGUCAGUCUUUUCUUUCCCCUGCAUUCAAACUCCGAUCAAACCGCAACCAAUGGACCUCCGAAAACCAUUUCGAUAUGAUGUUUUCAUUAGCUUUUGCGGAUGCGAUACCAUAACUGCUUCACUGGGCUUCUCCAAAUUUUCCAGUCAGAUUCUCUAAAGUAGAUUUUUCCAUAUGGUAGAAAACUGAUCCAGCGAUCUUCCCCCCUACUUGUGCUCAUCAAUUAUUAUAGCUAUUUGUCUAAAUACACCUAGAUAAAAAAUCAAGGAGGGGGAACGAUCGCUGGGUUCUUCAAGUUUUCUACCACAUGAUAAAUCAAAUCAACUGUGGAGAAUUGACCGGAAAGUUUGGACAAGCUCUCCAUGACAUAACCAAAUUUGAUGAUUUCGUGUAGAUCCUUGAAAGGUAAACCUACCUCACCAAUUUUUCUCGGUUGGAACUUAUGUUUUGGGUUGAAUUGCUAGUAAUCAAAAGGUUUAGAGCUUGUACUGAGUUGAUCCGUUGUGUUCUAUGGUUUACUGCAAUUUUCAUUUUUUUCCCUUUCUCGGGUGCUGGGAGCAUUGUUAAAUUGUGUACAUUAUGUAGGUUAAACAUGUUGAAGUAUUUAAAUGAACUAGUAUAUUAUGUGUGUCAAUAUGUUAAACAUUGUCUACUCACCCAUUUCAAGAUUAAAUGUUAAAUCCUAGUUUAGAUUUGUAGUUGUAGCUUUUAUAUUUGUACAAUACAUGGAUCUAUAUCUCCAAUUGGCAAAGAGAAAGUUCAGGUUAAUAAGUGUUUGGGCGACAAGGGUUGAAUUCUUUAGACAACCGCACAAACAAACCAUGGUGGUAUAUUCAAGGUGGACGGUGAUGGACGAUGCACAUGGAAAAUUAGAGUUUUAAGAGAAGAAAAGCCAUGAAAAACUAAAUCUAUGACAAGUCUCUAGCGAUGAAUCCAGUCUCCAAAGCCUUCUUUCUAGUCUUCUAGAUUUUCCUUAAUGUUCUCCGGUAAUGGUGGGAGCAUACUAUGUUUUUAUUUGACGAACGAGAGCAUAUUCUUUAGUUGCAAUUUUACAAUACUCUAAAACAUGAUAGUUUUGUAAUUUUUCUUUGUAUAUUGUGCAUGCAUCUCCAAGUUUUUCUGGUUCUCCAAGCUUGCUGGUGAUACUCAAUUGUACUGAGAGAUUUCAAAAUUUGCAUUUUCUGGACUGAUUUUUUUUAACACUGACAAAGUUUCUAGCUUAUUUCUUGAGAAGGAUAAAGAACCUAUAAAUAUUCCAUGGAAUGCUCAUGAAAUAACAAAGCACUCGAAUAUUAUUUGA